rnacentral:rRNA from 1 species
UUAGGCAUCCUUAGUACCAUGCGAACACCCGAUCUCAUCUGAUCUUGGAAGCCAGGCAGGGUUUGGCCUGUUUUGGAGCUGCUUGGA